AAGGCUGAGGCGUGAUGACGAGGCACCACGGUGCUGAAGUGACAAAUGCCCUGCUUCCAGGAAAAGCCUCUAAGCAUCAGGUAACAUCAAAUCGUACCCCAAACCGACACAGGUGGUCAGGUAGAGAAUACCAAGGCGCUUGAGAGAACUCGGGUGAAGGAACUAGGCAAAAUGGUGCCGUAACUUCGGGAGAAGGCACGCUGACAUGUAGGUGAAGCCCCUGCGGGUGGAGCUGAAGUCAGUCGAAGAUACCAGCUGGCUGCAACUGUUUAUUAAAAACACAGCACUGUGCAAACACGAAAGUGGACGUAUACGGUGUGACGCCUGCCCGGUGCCGGAAGGUUAAUUGAUGGGGUUAUCGCAAGAGAAGCUCCUGAUCGAAGCCCCGGUAAACGGCGGCCGUAACUAUAACGGUCCUAAGGUAGCGAAAUUCCUUGUCGGGUAAGUUCCGACCUGCACGAAUGGCGUAAUGAUGGCCAGGCUGUCUCCACCCGAGACUCAGUGAAAUUGAACUCGCUGUGAAGAUGCAGUGUACCCGCGGCAAGACGGAAAGACCCCGUGAACCUUUACUACAGCUUGACACUGAACAUUGAGCCUUGAUGUGUAGGAUAGGUGGGAGGCUUUGAAGCGUGGACGCCAGUCUGCGUGGAGCCGACCUUGAAAUACCACCCUUUAAUGUUUGAUGUUCUAACCUGGCGCCGUGAUCCGGCGUGGGGACAGUGUCUGGUGGGUAGUUUGACUGGGGCGGUCUCCUCCCAAAGUGUAACGGAGGAGCACGAAGGUCAGCUAAUCCUGGUCGGACAUCAGGAGGUUAGUGCAAUGGCAUAAGCUGGCUUGACUGCGAGAGUGACGGCUCGAGCAGGUGCGAAAGCAGGUCAUAGUGAUCCGGUGGUUCUGUAUGGAAGGGCCAUCGCUCAACGGAUAAAAGGUACUCCGGGGAUAACAGGCUGAUACCGCCCAAGAGUUCAUAUCGACGGCGGUGUUUGGCACCUCGAUGUCGGCUCAUCACAUCCUGGGGCUGAAGUAGGUCCCAAGGGUAUGGCUGUUCGCCAUUUAAAGUGGUACGCGAGCUGGGUUUAGAACGUCGUGAGACAGUUCGGUCCCUAUCUGCCGUGGGCGCUGGAGAAUUGAGGGGGGCUGCUCCCAGUACGAGAGGACCGGAGUGGACGCAUCACUGGUGUUCGGGUUGUCAUGCCAAUGGCACUGCCCGGUAGCUAAAUGCGGAAGAGAUAAGUGCUGAAAGCAUCUAAGCACGAAACUUGCCCCGAGAUGAGUUCUCCCUGAGACUGUAAGUCUCCUGAAGGAACGUUGAAGACGACGACGUUGAUAGGCCGGGUGUGUAAGCGCAGCGAUGCGUUGAGCUAACCGGUACUAAUGAACCGUGAGGCUUAACCUU
rnacentral:rRNA from 1 species